GGAGCAUCUGUAGGUAAACUCUUCUCUCUUCUUCUCCUCUGUUCGCGUACUCGUUUCUUCUCCUCUCUUCUUCUCCUCUGUUCGCGUACUCGUUUCUUCUCCUCUCUUCUUCUCCUCUGUUCGCCUUGUUCUCUCUUUUUCUCCUUUAUUCGCUUCUCUCUUCUUCUCCUCUAUUCCAACAAUUGUGAAAGUUCUGAUAAAAAUCCCUUUUACCCAUCUUUCUUCUUUACCCACUGAAGACUUGUUGCGGAAAACCAAGGUACUAACCACCAAGGGCCAUCUUCCUCCUUCCCUUUCACUCUGACCAUACUCCUCUCUUCAAUAACCUCCACCACCGAAGGCCAAUCAUCAAGAUCUCACAGAACUAUUCAGCUGCCGACGUUCCAAAAUGAGUGAAAGGACUGCCAUCGCUGCAAGCCCUUGAGGUUUUCUUCUUUAACUUGAGCAACUAAGGACGAGCCGAGGGAAGUGUAGGUCUUCUUCGUCAAGCAUCUGCAUCAAGGAUCGUUUGCUUCAUCUUUUCCAGCCAUUUCUCUUCAAAAUGUAACAGAUCAUGGGGUGGUUGGAUUCAUGAGCCAUGAGAGAUUUCCUGAUAAAGGGCAGAAGUGGAUGAGGGUGCAAGAGAGUGAGUGUUUGAGCUAGGGAAGGAGAGAGUGACUAUAUUGAGCUAGUUGGAAGUUUCUGUGCUUGAUGAUUUGCUAUUGUGGAUGAAGGUGCAAGAGAGUGAGCAUUUCUUUUUAGGAAAUGAUGUGUGUUCAGUAAUAUAUGUAACUGAUGAUCAUUUUUACUGUUGGAUGGCCAAUUGUUAAUAUGGAACUGAUCAAAUCUUCAAAGAACCAUUUAUCUUCAAUUUCAGAUUCUGACAAGUAU